AUUGAACGCUGGCGGCAGGCCUAACACAUUCAAGUCGAACGAGUGGCGGAAGGGUGCGUAAUGGCUGGGAAAGUGCCUGCUGGAGGGGGAUCAAUACUGGAGACGGUAGCUAAUACAGCAUGCCAUACGAUGUGCUCACAUGGGUUUAGGUAUUUGGUGGGGUAACGGCUCACCAAGGCGACGAUCCCUAGCUGGUCUGAGAGGAUGCCCAGCUACACGGAAACUGAUACACGGUCCAGACUCCUACGGGGGGCAGCAGUGGGGAAUAUUGCACAAGGGGCGCAAGCCUGAUGCAGCCAUGCCGCGUGUAUGAAGCAGGCCUUCGGGUUGUAAAGUACUUACAGCGGGGAGGCGUUACCCUCAGAAGAAGCACCGGCUAACUCCGUGCCAGCCGCCGCGGUAAUUC
rnacentral:rRNA from 1 species